GAGCUGGGGCUCAGAGGUACAGCACUCCCCUAGCAUGCGUGAGGUCCUGGGUUCGAGCCUCAGCACCACA
rnacentral:tRNA from 1 species